rnacentral:rRNA from 1 species
GAUGAACGCUGGCGGCGUGCCUAAUACAUGCAAGUCGAGCGAACAGACGAGGAGCUUGCUCCUCUGACGUUAGCGGCGGACGGGUGAGUAACACGUGGAUAACCUACCUAUAAGACUGGGAUAACUUCGGGAAACCGGAGCUAAUACCGGAUAAUAUAUUGAACCGCAUGGUUCAAUAGUGAAAGACGGUUUUGCUGUCACUUAUAGAUGGAUCCGCGCCGCAUUAGCUAGUUGGUAAGGUAACGGCUUACCAAGGCAACGAUGCGUAUCCGACCUGAGAGGGUGAUCGGCCACACUGGAACUGAGACACGGUCCAGACUCCUACGGGAGGCAGCAGUAGGGAAUCUUCCGCAAUGGGCGAAAGCUUGACGGAGCAACGCCGCGUGAGUGAUGAAGGUCUUCGGAUCGUAAAACUCUGUUAUUAGGGAAGAACAAAUGUGUAAGUAACUAUGCACGUCUUGACGGUACCUAAUCAGAAAGUCACGGCUAACUACGCG